GGGCCCGUAGCUCAGUCAGGAUAGAGCACCGGGCUUUUAACCCGGGGGUCGUGGGUUCAAAUCCCGCCGGGCCCG
rnacentral:tRNA from 1 species